rnacentral:rRNA from 1 species
UACGUAGGGUGCAAGCGUUGUCCGGAAUUAUUGGGCGUAAAGAGCUCGUAGGCGGUUUGUCGCGUCGAAUGUGAAAACCCGGGGCUCAACCCCGGGCCUGCAUUCGAUACGGGCAGGCUAGAGUUCGGUAGGGGAGACUGGAAUUCCUGGUGUAGCGGUGAAAUGCGCAGAUAUCAGGAGGAACACCGGUGGCGAAGGCGGGUCUCUGGGCCGAUACUGACGUGAGGAGCGAAAGCGUGGGGAGCGAACAGG